rnacentral:misc_RNA from 1 species
CAGAAAGGGCUCCGAGAGAAAGAGAAAGGCAGUCCUGCCUCGCUCUUGCGUCUGUCUCUCUCUUCCUUCGCACCGCCGACUUACCUGCGGCUCCUCCUCACCCCUUGUCGUGUUGAUUCGCAUCGCUGACGAUGCUGCGCAUAACCCCCAGCCGGUACGCCAGCAAGGUGACGGCCGGCAAUGCCAAGAAUCAGGCCGGGUCGCCGCGGCAGAAGCCGAAGAUCUUCCACGUCAUCCCUGGCACCCCCGUCACGCCGGUGGAGAAGCUGAAGGAGCAGCGCCGCCGCUUUGGCCAGGACCGGUACUCGCGGCAUCCCGAGUACAGGCCAGGGCGCAACGUCCGCAUGGACCCCAACACCUUCACUCUAUAUGCGACGACGAAGGGUGUCAUGACCAUCCGCACCUCGCGCAUCAACCCUUCGUACAAGUGGCUCGACGUGGAGCCCGACAUUCAGAAGGUGUACCGCAGUCGAUGCAUGCGCGCCGCCCUUCAGGCCCGCGGAAAGGCCUCCAUGAUGGUAGCGGGCAACGCGCACUACCGUGCUGAGCUGGAUCAUGUGACGGAGCCGCACUGGCGCGAGCGCGUGAUGAGGGUGCCGAAGGCAACGGAGCGCUUCCAGGACCCCAACUGCUUUACUCGUGGACUGGUGCCCUUCCUGCGCCCGCUUAGCCGCUACUCGUACGAGUGAAGUGUCUCUGCCUCAUUGACGCAGGGGCGCAGCAUGUGCACGCGCACCGUCUGACGGUGACCAAGCCGAUGGAGGCAAGGAAAGGCCAUUGGCAAGAUCCCCCGACUCAAAGGCUGCGCUGCUCACCCUCCUUCUCGGCUCUCUGCCGCUAACAACAAAAAAGGGGGCCCGCCUUCGCCUUCGCGCCUCCUUGGGUGUGUUUGCGUGAAGGGAGGAGGAUGGUUGAUGGCGAGAUCACCACCCCUCCUCGGCUACAAUGAAGAGGAAGCAAAAACGUACGCGACAUCAGACGUACAUCGAAAAAAAAAGACGAUACAACAAAAUAAAUGAUGGCCAAGCCACCGAGCAUCACCUCAUCAGUCGCGCACACACAGGAAGGUGAGCAACCAGUACGGUCCUCGCGCAUUGGUAGCGGCAAGACGCUCUUUCUCUGGUGGUGGUGGUAGAGUGGGGAAUCAGGCGAGGGAGGAAAGGAGGGGCGCCCGUUCCGUGUCUCCACGGCUGCUUGGAAAAUUGGUGUGUGGACGCUCUUAACAUGUGUAUGUGCCGUGUGGGUGCGUGAGUGGAUGUCGCUGCUUUCUCUUUUCCACUCCGUCCUCUCUUUCUCUCUCUGGCUGACUGCACUGCGGCGUGCACGACGGCGAAG